rnacentral:rRNA from 1 species
UACGAAGGGGGCUAGCGUUGCUCGGAAUUACUGGGCGUAAAGCGCAUGUAGGCGGCUUGAUAAGUCGGGUGUGAAAUCCCUGGGCUCAACCCAGGACGUGCACUCGAUACUGCCAAGCUUGAGUAUGGGAGAGGGUAGUAGAAUUCCUGGUGUAGUGGUGAAAUACGUAGAUAUCAGGAGGAAUACCGGUGGCGAAGGCGGCUGCCUGGCCCAAUACUGACGUUGAGAUGCGAAAGCGUGGGGAGCAAACAGG